rnacentral:tRNA from 1 species
GCGCCGAUGGUCUAGUGGUUAUGACUGCGGCCUUCCAAGCCGCCAGCCCGGGUUCGAAUCCCGGUCGGCGCA